GAGGAAUAUUGGUCAAUGGACGGAAGUCUGAACCAGCCAAGUAGCGUGCAGGAUGACGGCCCUAUGGGUUGUAAACUGCUUUUGUAUGGGGAUAAAGUCAAUCACGUGUGAUUGUUUGCAGGUACCAUACGAAUAAGGACCGGCUAAUUCCGUGCCAGCAGCCGCGGUAAUACGGAAGGUCCGGGCGUUAUCCGGAUUUAUUGGGUUUAAAGGGAGCGUAGGCCGGAGAUUAAGUGUGUUGUGAAAUGUAGACGCUCAACGUCUGACUUGCAGCGCAUACUGGUUUCCUUGAGUACGCACAACGUUGGCGGAAUUCGUCGUGUAGCGGUGAAAUGCUUAGAUAUGACGAAGAACUCCGAUUGCGAAGGCAGCUGACGGGAGCGCAACUGACGCUUAAGCUCGAAGGUGCGGGUAUCGAACAGGAUUAGAUACCCUGGUAGUCCGCACAGUAAACGAUGGAUGCCCGCUGUUGGUACCUGGUAUCAGCGGCUAAGCGAAAGCAUUAAGCAUCCCACCUGGGGAGUACGCCGGCAACGGUG
rnacentral:rRNA from 1 species